GCUCUGAGUCUCUUCUGUUCCCUGGGAGCUGUGGGCGCAGAAAGAUUUCUAAACAGAGAAGUUACUCAGGACUGCAGUGUGGACUUCUUCUUCUUCUCUUCCUGGAUUGGUCACAUCUUCCUCACUGAUCUGCUCUUGUGAUUGGACAGUCCUGGAUUCAAGGACGUCUGGGGGGUCCACCCCUGCUUCCUGUCUUCCUGUUUCCUUCCUCAACACAGUGAGCACUUCUUGUCCCUUCACGACCGUCACCUGACUGGCUGGAGGCUUCACCUAUCCGUCACUGAAGAUUCAUAGACUUUGAAGUCAAGACAGACGGAUGUUGUGUUACGUGUAGAGGUGCAACACUACGCAGAACUCAAGGUCCAUUCUGGCUUCUUCUGGAACUGGUAUGCUCCUUGAGUGACCGACCGAAAUGGGUUUUCAAUGUGCGAUGCCAUCAUUUAGAAAGCAGCGGACAUUUCUUUAACCCUGUUAUUGUCUGCAUUGUCUCUUUACUUCAGUAGAUCCACACUCUGUCUGCACUGCACCUAUUUUACAUUUGUUUGUUUUUUUAAAUGUAGCAACUAAAUAAA
rnacentral:lncRNA from 1 species